rnacentral:lncRNA from 1 species
CCUGCUCUUGCUUCUACCUCUCCAUUUGCUUUUGCUACUCUUUUGUUGCCUCCCCCGGUUCUCUGUGACAAAGGCAUGGGUCUGAUCUGUGCCCAUCUCCUUUCUCUUUGCCUCUUCACUGAAUAGGGCAUCCUUGGCCAUUGACAUGGUAAGUUUGCCAUUAGGGGCUGAGUUGCUGAGUGAUACAACCAGCGUUUCCCAACUAUCGUGAAGGGAACUGAGUAGUAACAGC